rnacentral:rRNA from 1 species
UUGAUCCUGGCUCAGAAUCAACGCUGGCGGCGCGCUUAACACAUGCAAGUCGAACGAGAAAGGGUAGCAAUACCUGAGUAAAGUGGCGUACGGGUGAGUUACACGUGGAUCAUCUGCCCUUUGGUGGGGAAUAACUCUGGGAAACCGGAUCUAAUACCGCAUAAGUCCGAGAGGAGAACGCAGCAAUGCGCCGAAGGAGUAGUCCGCGGCUGAUUAGCUAGUUGGUAGGGUAAUGGCCUACCAAGGCGAUGAUCGGUAGCCGGCCUGAGAGGGCACACGGCCACACUGGCACUGAGACAUGGGCCAGACUCCUACGGGAGGCAGUAGUGGGGAAUCUUGCACAAUGGGGUAAACCCUGAUGCAGCGACGCCGCGUGAGUGAUGAAGCCCUUCGGGGUGUUAAGCUCUUUCGACGGGAACGAUAAUGACGGUACCCGGAGAAGAAGCUGCUGCUAACUACGUGCCAGCAGCCGCGGUAAUU